CGGACGGGUGAGUAACGCGUGGGUAACCUGCCUCAUACAGGGGGAUAACAGUUAGAAAUGGCUGCUAAUACCGCAUAAGACCACAGUACUGCAUGGUACAGUGGUAAAACUCCGGUGGUAUGAGAUGGACCCGCGUCUGAUUAGGUAGUUGGUGAGGUAACGGCCCACCAAGCCGACGAUCAGUAGCCGACCUGAGAGGGUGACCGGCCACACUGGGACUGAGACACGGCCCAG
rnacentral:rRNA from 1 species